rnacentral:misc_RNA from 1 species
GAUGAAGAACGUAGCGAAAUGCGAUAAGUAAUGUGAAUUGCAGAAUUCAGUGAAUCAUCGAAUCUUUGAACGCACAUUGCGCCCGCCAGUAUUCUGGCGGGCAUGCCUGUUCGAGCGUCAUUUCAACCAUCAAGCCCCAGGCUUGUGUUGGGGACCUGCGGCUGCCGCAGGCCCUGAAAACCAGUGGCGGGCUCGCUGUCACACCGGGCGUAGUAGAUUUUAUCUCGCUCAGGGCGUGCUGCGGGUUCCGGCCGUUAAAAAGCCUUUUUUACCCAAGGUUGACCUCGAAUCAGGUAGGACUACCCGCUGAACUUAAGCAUAUCAAUAAGCGGAGGA